CUACGGGGGGCUCCAGUGGGGAAUUUUGCGCAAUGGGCGGAAGCCUGACGCAGCAAUACCGCGUGAGUGAAGAAGGCCUUUGGGUCGUAAAGCUCUUUUCUGAGGGAAGAUAGUGACGGUACCUCAGGAAUAAGCACCGGCUAACUCCGUGCCAGCAGCCGCGGUAAUACGGAGGGGUGCAAGCGUUGUUCGGAUUUACUGGGCGUAAAGGGCACGUAGGCGGCACAGCAAGUUAAGGGUGAAAUCCCGGGGCUCAACCUCGGAACUGCUCUUAAAACUGCUGAGCUAGAGAUAGUCAGAGGCGGGUGGAAUUCCUGGUGUAGAGGUGAAAUUCGUAGAUAUCAGGAGGAACACCGGUGGCGAAGGCGGCCCGCUGGGGCUAUUCUGACGCUAAGGUGCGAAAGCGUGGGGAGCGAACGGGAUUAGAUACCCCGGUAGUC
rnacentral:rRNA from 1 species